CCCUUAGAUGUUCUGGGCCGCACGCGCGCUACACUGAUGCAUUCAACGAGUCUAAAACCUGCUCUGAUAGGGGUGGGUAAUCUUUUGAAUGUGCAUCGUGAUUGGGAUAGAUGAUUGCAAUUUUUCCUCUUCAACGAGGAAUGCCUAGUAAACGCAAGUCAUCAGCUUGCAUUGAUUACGUCCCUGCCCUUUGUACACACCGCCCGUCGCUCCUACCGAUUGAAUGAUCCGAUGAAUAUCAUGGAUUGAGGAUGCAAGUAGGUUCGCCUAUCUUCAUCUUCGAGAAGUGAAGUAAAUCUUAUCAUUUAGAGGAAGGAGAAGUCGUAACA
rnacentral:rRNA from 1 species